rnacentral:pre_miRNA from 1 species
UACAGUGAUCAGGUUAUGAUGGAUUUCUCAAGUAAGCACCUCGUAGCUUGGUCACGAUAUC